GACUUGGAUAUUGAACAGCAACAACAAUAACAAUAAAAUGGAUUUAUCUUACAACAAGUUUUUGGGAUCAUCUGAUGCUACUAGUUGUGAAAUGCUGUCACCGAAUUUGGUUUCCGGU